rnacentral:rRNA from 1 species
GCGGGGGGCGGGCUGCUUACGAUGGAAGUCUGACGGACUCAUAUUGAAACCUAGUGAUUUAUAAGUUAGUGGCCCAUGGGUGAGUAACGCGUGGAUAACCUGCCGUAUACCGGGGCAUAACACUUAGAAAUAGGUGCUAAUACCGCAUAAGCGCACGGCUCCGCAUGGGGCAGUGUGAAAAACUCCGGUGGUAUACGAUGGAUCCGCGUCUGAUUAGCUAGUUGGCGGGGUAACGGCCCACCAAGGCAGCGAUCAGUAGCCGGCCUGAGAGGGUGGACGGCCACAUUGGGACUGAGACACGGUCCAAACUCCUACGGGAGGCAGCAGUGGGGAAUAUUGCACAAUGGGGGAAACCCUGAUGCAGCGACGCCGCGUGAGUGAAGAAGUAUCUCGGUACGUAAAGCUCUAUCCCACAGGGAAGAAAAUGACGGUACCUGACCAAGAAGCCCCGGCUAACUACGUGCCAGCAGCCGCGGUAAUACGUAGGGGGCAAGCGUUAUCCGGAUUUACUGGGUGUAAAGGGAGCGCAGACGGCAGUGCAAGUCCGGAGUGAAAGCCCGGGGCCCAACCCCGGGACUGCUCUGGAAACUGUACGGCUGGAGUGCCGGAGAGGUAAGCGGAAUUCCUAGUGUAGCGGUGAAAUGCGUAGAUAUUAGGAGGAACACCAGUGGCGAAGGCGGCUUACUGGACGGUAACUGACGUUGAGGCUCGAAAGCGUGGGGAGCAAAACGGAUUAGAUACCCUGGUAGU